GAUGAACGCUGGCGGCGUGCUUAACACAUGCAAGUCGAACGGAAAGGCUCCUGCUUGCAGGGGUACUCGAGUGGCGAACGGGUGAGUAACACGUGGGUGAUCUGCCCUGCACUUCGGGAUAAGCCUGGGAAACUGGGUCUAAUACCGGAUAGGACGAUGGUUUGGAUGCCAAUGUGGAAAGUUUUUUCGGUGUGGGAUGAGCUCGCGGCCUAUCAGCUUGUUGGUGGGGUAAUGGCCUACCAAGGCGUCGACGGGUAGCCGGCCUGAGAGGGUGUACGGCCACAUUGGGACUGAGAUACGGCCCAGACUCCUACGGGAGGCAGCAGUGGGGAAUAUUGCACAAUGGGCGCAAGCCUGAUGCAGCGACGCCGCGUGGGGGAUGACGGCCUUCGGGUUGUAAACUCCUUUCGCUAGGGACGAAGCGCAAGUGACGGUACCUGGAGAAGAAGCACCGGCUAACUACGUG
rnacentral:rRNA from 1 species